GCAAACUUGGUCAUUUAGAGGAAGUAAAAGUCGUAACAAGGUUUCCGUAGGUGAACCUGCGGAAGGAUCAUUAACAAAUUCCAAUUAUUUGGAUUUAACAAUCCAUCCACCUUUUGUGAAUUAUAAUUGUCUUUGGCGGUUUACUUGCCAUUGAUAUGGGCAUUUGCUCGUAUUUUGGUCAGUGGCCGCCAGCGGGAACUCUGUUCUCUUUGACAAACUUGUAAUGUUAAUACUGACUUGAAUGUUUUUAAACAAUAAAAACAACUUUUGACAACGGAUCUCUUGGCUCUCGCAUCGAUGAAGAACGCAGC
rnacentral:misc_RNA from 1 species